rnacentral:rRNA from 1 species
GAUCGGGUUGGGUGGUCCGCUUAACAGCGUGUUACUGCUUGACUGGGUCUUGUCUCCUGGUGACCAUGGUGUUCUUUAUUGGAUGCUUUGAGGAACCAGGACUUUUACCUUGAGAAAAUUAGAGUGUUCAAAGCAGGCUCAUGCCCGAAUACAUUAGCAUGGAAUAACAAAGUAGGACGUGCGGUUCUAUUUUGUUGGUUUCUAGAGUCGCCGUA